UAGUCUCACCGAGGAUCGAACUCGGACCACUACGUUCCGAACGUAGCAUUCUUCCACUAAACUAUGAGACC
rnacentral:tRNA from 1 species